UGGCUCAGUGGGUAGAUAGAGUGUGAGACUCUUGAUCUUGGGGUUGUGGGUUCAAACCCCAU
rnacentral:tRNA from 1 species